GUUGUUGCCUGUGAAUGGUAAAGUUGUUGCAAAAAUGGUAAAUGUGUUGCUUUUUUUACCGAUUUGGUAAAGUUGUUGCCCAAAGCAACAACUUUCCAUAUGAAAAUUGGUAAAUGUGUUGUCAUCACCAUUGACAAUACACACGAGCCUGCUCCUGCGUGUAUUAUCGCAUAGACUUUAAAAGAGACUACCAAGGCGCUUGAUGGAUGCGCAUGCUGCAUGCAUGGAGUCCUACAUAUAUACAUGUAUGUACAGUUUGACAGAAUGAUGGUGUUAUGGCAGAUGAAUGAGAUGAGAAUUACGAAUGGAGGUGCUCCCAGUGAUUCCAGAGCUGUUCUUCCAAGAGAGUGUCAACUAGCACUGAGCCUGGAUGUAAGGAUGUUCCUUCUGGAUCAAGAAGCGAUUUGAUUGUGGAGCCUGGAUGUAAGGAUGUUCCUUCUGGAUCAAGAAGCGAUUUGAUUGUGGAGCCUGGAUGUAAGGAUGUUCCUUCUGGAUCAAGAAGCGAUUUGAUUGUGCUUACUGUUGUACAAAGUUGGCAACCAAGUAUUGGGGAAGCAGUUGUGCACACAACGUGUCAGCGUAGACUCCUCUAACCAGAUGGAGAGCAGACAAUGAUCAAGCUCAUUUUACAGGCUGCCCUUUCAAAUGCGUCCAAGAUGAAGAAAAGGCCAUUUCGAGCAUUGACCAAUGCUGUGUAUGACCCGAUGUCUAGGAAAGGACCCCUAGGAUGCUCAGCGAAGGCUUUCUACAAACAAUUAAUCAUGUAACACUAAGGAAUCUGUCGCUUGUCAACAAAAUAAAAUGGCAUUGUAUUUUCAUCUGUUCGCCUGUUCAAUGCAGGGACCUAUUUGCCUUCUUUGCAAGGGGGGGGGGGGGGUUAUGUAUAACCUGUAUUCCCUGGUCCGGGCAAGAAAGUAAUACUGUUCGCCUGUUCAAUGCACGGAGUAGUGUCGCCUUUUUUAUGGCCGGGGGGGGGGGGGGGGGGGG